rnacentral:rRNA from 1 species
GAAUAUUGGACAAUGGGGGCAACCCUGAUCCAGCAAUGCCGCGUGUGUGAAGAAGGCCUGCGGGUUGUAAAGCACUUUCAGUAGGGAAGAAAAGCUCGGGGCUAAUACCCUCGGGUCUUGACGUUACCUAAAGAAGAAGCACCGGCUAACUCCGUGCCAGCAGCCGCGGUAAUACGGAGGGUGCGAGCGUUAAUCGGAAUUACUGGGCGUAAAGCGCACGUAGGCGGUCGGAUAAGUCGGAUGUGAAAGCCCUGGGCUUAACCUGGGAACUGCAUUCGAUACUGUCUGGCUAGAGUAUGGGAGAGGGAAGCAGAAUUUCCGGUGUAGCGGUGAAAUGCGUAGAUAUCGGAAGGAAUACCAAUGGCGAAGGCAGCUUCCUGGCCCAAUACUGACGCUCAGGUGCGAAAGCGUGGGGAUCAAACAGG